rnacentral:rRNA from 1 species
UACGUAGGGUGCAAGCGUUAAUCGGAAUUACUGGGCGUAAAGCGUGCGCAGGCGGUCUUGCAAGACAGAUGUGAAAUCCCCGGGCUUAACCUGGGAACUGCAUUUGUGACUGCAAGGCUGGAGUACGGUAGAGGGGGAUGGAAUUCCGCGUGUAGCAGUGAAAUGCGUAGAUAUGCGGAGGAACACCGAUGGCGAAGGCAAUCCCCUGGACCUGUACUGACGCUCAUGCACGAAAGCGUGGGGAGCAAACGAGG